rnacentral:rRNA from 1 species
UGAGGAAUAUUGGUCAAUGGGCGGGAGCCUGAACCAGCCAAGUCGCGUGAAGGAAGAAGGAUCUAUGGUUCGUAAACUUCUUUUGCAGGGGAAUAAAGUGCAGGACGUGUCCUGUUUUGUAUGUACCCUGAGAAUAAGGAUCGGCUAACUCCGUGCCAGCAGCCGCGGUAAUACGGCGGAUCCGAGCGUUAUCCGGAUUUAUUGGGUUUAAAGGGUGCGUAGGUGGUUUGAUAAGUCAGCGGUGAAAGUUUGCAGCUUAACUGUAAAAAUGCCGUUGNAACUGUCGGACUUGAGUGUAAAUGAGGUAGGCGGAAUGCGUGGUGUAGCGGUGAAAUGCAUAGAUAUCACGCAGAACUCCGAUUGCGAAGGCAGCUUACUAAGCUACAACUGACACUGAAGCACGAAAGCGUGGGGAUCAAACA